UACGGAGGAUGCGAGCGUUAUCCGGAUUUAUUGGGUUUAAAGGGUGCGUAGGCGGAUUUUUAAGUCAGCGGUAAAAUGUCCGGGCUCAACCCGGGCCGGCCGUUGAAACUGGGGAUCUUGAGUGGGCGAGAAGUAUGCGGAAUGCGUGGUGUAGCGGUGAAAUGCAUAGAUAUCACGCAGAACUCCGAUUGCGAAGGCAGCAUGCCGGCGCCCGACUGACGCUGAGGCACGAAAGCGUGGGGAUCGAACAGG
rnacentral:rRNA from 1 species